GGUUCCGUGGUGUAACGGUUAGCACUUGGGACUCUGAAUCCCAAAAUCCGAGUUCAAAUCUCGGCGGAACCU